rnacentral:rRNA from 1 species
GACGAACGCUGGCGGCGUGCUUAACACAUGCAAGUCGAACGGAAAGGCCCUGCUCUUGUGGGGUGCUCGAGUGGCGAACGGGUGAGUAACACGUGAGUAACAUGCCCCUGACUUUGGGAUAACAUCAGGAAAAUGGGGCUAAUACAGGAUAGGAGCUCCUGCAGCAUGGUGGGGGUUGGAAAGUUUCGGCGGUUGGGGAUGGUAUGGCGGCUUAUCCGCUUCUUGGUGGGGUAGUGGCGUACGAAGUCUUUGACGGGUAGCCGGCCUGAGAGGGUGACCGGGCACCAUGGGACUGCGAGACGGCCCAGACGCCUACGUGCGGCAGCGGUGGAGAGUAUUACGCAACGGGCGGAAGCCUGAUGCAGCAGCGCCGCGUGCGGGAUGACGGCCUUCGGGUUGUAAACCGCUUUCGCCGUUGACGAAGCGUGAUUGACGGUAAUUGGUAAAGAAGCACCGGCUAACUACGUG